AUGAGCCUGUAAUUACUUUCAUCAGGGAAUUUAAAGGCCGGGGAGGGGCGGGUCUUUUCUUUUUAGAGAAAUAAGAAAAUGUACAGACAUUCUAAAAAUCUUUAUUAGUUUGAUAUACUCCUGUAAGAGCUUUAAAUGCCUCAAUCAUUGCACAUGGAAGGUGAUAGAAAACAAUUAUAAAAGAAAUGGGAGAUUCUUCCACUAACUUUUCCUACCCCAGAUUCAGCAAAUCUCUUUACUUUUCCUGUACUGAGAAAUAAUCCAGCUUUGCCCCAUACUGAAGAAACUUCAGAAUGAAUAUUUGAGGCUCAAAAGAGAGGAGAGGAAACCUUUAAAAAAACCAUGGAAUGAGUUUCUGUAGUAUGGUGGUUAUCACGUUAGUCUCACACGUGAAAGGUCCCUGGUUCGAAACCAGGUGGAAACACAUUUUAGGCUGGGUGCGGUGGUUCAUGCCUGUAAUCCCAACACAAAAACUUAGCCGGGCGUGGUGGCAGCUGCCUAUAGUCCCAGCUACUUGGGAGGCUGAGGCAGGAGAAUUGCUUGAGCCCGGAAGGCGGAGGUUGCAGUGAGCCGAGAUUGUGCCACUGUACUCCAGCCUGGGUGACAGAGUGAGACUCCAGCUCAAAAAAAAAAAAAAAAAAAAAAAAAACACCUAUAAGAGAUAUUUGGUGCCGACCACUUAUGGGCUACAUAUGCAAUAUGAAUGUGCUUAUUUAUUUCUCACAACCUUUUGAGGUGGGUAUUGUUUGGACUCUAAUUUGGAAAAGAAAGUGUGGUGUUACUUAUCCAAUCAGAUUCUCAAUUAGUAGGAGAAAAAGCUAUCAGAAUAUUAUCUACUCAACAUGGAACACACACAUAACUGCCUUCUCUUAACUAUCUGGUCUCAUGUGCUUUAGUCUAAGGUAUAUAGAAACUUGGGUAAGAAUUGUUAAAGGGAGAUGUUGAAAG
rnacentral:lncRNA from 10 species